GACGAACGCUGGCGGCGUGCUUAACACAUGCAAGUCGAACGGAAAGGCCCUGCUUUUGUGGGGUGCUCGAGUGGCGAACGGGUGAGUAACACGUGAGUAACCUGCCCUUGACUUUGGGAUAACUUCAGGAAACUGGGGCUAAUACCGGAUAGGAUCUCCUGCUGCAUGGUGGGGGUUGGAAAGUUUCGGCGGUUGGGGAUGGACUCGCGGCUUAUCAGCUUGUUGGUGGGGUAGUGGCUUACCAAGGCUUUGACGGGUAGCCGGCCUGAGAGGGUGACCGGCCAAAUUGGGACUGAGAUACGGCCCAGACUCCUACGGGAGGCAGCAGUGGGGAAUAUUGCACAAUGGGCGGAAGCCUGAUGCAGCAACGCCGCGUGCGGGAUGACGGCCUUCGGGUUGUAAACCGCUUUCGCCUGUGACGAAGCGUGAGUGACGGUAAUGGGUAAAGAAGCACCGGCUAACUACGUG
rnacentral:rRNA from 1 species